rnacentral:rRNA from 1 species
CUACAGGCUUAACACAUGCAAGUCGAGGGGCAGCAUGGUCUUAGCUUGCUAAGGCCGAUGGCGACCGGCGCACGGGUGAGUAACACGUAUCCAACCUGCCGUCUACUCUUGGACAGCCUUCUGAAAGGAAGAUUAAUACAAGAUGGCAUCAUGAGUCCGCAUGUUCACAUGAUUAAAGGUAUUCCGGUAGACGAUGGGGAUGCGUUCCAUUAGAUAGUAGGCGGGGUAACGGCCCACCUAGUCUUCGAUGGAUAGGGGUUCUGAGAGGAAGGUCCCCCACAUUGGAACUGAGACACGGUCCAAACUCCUACGGGAGGCAGCAGUGAGGAAUAUUGGUCAAUGGGCGAGAGCCUGAACCAGCCAAGUAGCGUGAAGGAUGACUGCCCUAUGGGUUGUAAACUUCUUUUAUAAAGGAAUAAAGUCGGGUAUGGAUACCCGUUUGCAUGUACUUUAUGAAUAAGGAUCGGCUAACUCCGUGCCAGCAGCCGCGGUAAUACGGAGGAUCCGAGCGUUAUCCGGAUUUAUUGGGUUUAAAGGGAGCGUAGAUGGAUGUUUAAGUCAGUUGUGAAAGUUUGCGGCUCAACCGUAAAAUUGCAGUUGAUACUGGAUAUCUUGAGUGCAGUUGAGGCAGGCGGAAUUCGUGGUGUAGCGGUGAAAUGCUUAGAUAUCACGAAGAACUCCGAUUGCGAAGGCAGCCUGCUAAGCUGCAACUG